AACGAACGCUGGCGGCAGGCCUAACACAUGCAAGUCGAACGCCCCGCAAGGGGAGUGGCAGGCGGGUGAGUAACACGUGGGAACAUGCCCUUCGGUUCGGAAUAACCCAGGGAAACUUGAGCUAAUACCGGAUACGUCCGAGAGGAGAAAGAUUUAUCGCCGAAGGAUUGGCCCGCGUCUGAUUAGCUUGUUGGUGAGGUAACGGCUCACCAAGGCGACGAUCAGUAGCUGGUCUGAGAGGAUGAUCAGCCACACUGGGACUGAGACACGGCCCAGACUCCUACGGGAGGCAGCAGUGGGGAAUAUUGGACAAUGGGCGCAAGCCUGAUCCAGCCAUGCCGCGUGAGUGAUGACGGCCCUAGGGUUGUAAAGCUCUUUUGCCUGGGAAGAUAAUGACGGUACCAGGAGAAUAAGCCCCGGCUAACUACGUGCCAGCCGCCGCGGUAA
rnacentral:rRNA from 1 species